GACGAACGCUGGCGGCGUGCUUAACACAUGCAAGUCGAACGGAAAGGCCCUGCUUUUGUGGGGUGCUCGAGUGGCGAGCGGGUGAGUAACACGUGAGUAACCUGCCCUUGACUUUGGGAUAACUUCAGGAAACUGGGGCUAAUACCGGAUAGGAGCUCCUGCUGCAUGGUGGGGGUUGGAAAGUUUCGGCGGUUGGGGAUGGACUCGCGGCUUACCAGCUUGUUGGUGGGGUAGUGGCUUACCAAGGCUUUGACGGGUAGCCGGCCUGAGAGGGUGACCGGCCACAUUGGGACUGAGAUACGGCCCAGACUCCUACGGGAGGCAGCAGUGGGGAAUAUUGCACAAUGGGCGGAAGCCUGAUGCAGCAACGCCGCGUGCGGGAUGACGGCCUUCGGGUUGUAAACCGCUUUCGCCUGUGACGAAGCGUGAGUGACGGUAAUGGGUAAAGAAGCACCGGCUAACUACGUG
rnacentral:rRNA from 1 species